rnacentral:rRNA from 1 species
AUUGAACGCUGGCGGCAUGCCUAACACAUGCAAGUCGAACGGGGCAGCAAUGCCUAGUGGCGGACGGGUGAGGAAUACGUAGGAAUCUGCCCUUAAGUGGGGGAUAACCAGGGGAAACCCUGACUAAUACCGCAUGAUCUCUUCGGAGCAAAGAGGGGGACCGCAAGGCCUCUCGCUUCUGGAUGAGCCUACGUCUGAUUAGCUAGUUGGUAGGGUAAAGGCCUACCAAGGCGACGAUCAGUAACUGGUCUGAGAGGAUGAUCAGUCACACCGGAACUGAGACACGGUCCGUACUCCUACGGGAGGCAGCAGUGGGGAAUAUUGGACAAUGGGCGCAAGCCUGAUCCAGCAAUGCCGCGUGUGUGAAGAAGGCCUUCGGGUUGUAAAGCACUUUAGCCUGGAAAGAAAAAACUUUGGUUAACACCCAAGGUCUUGACGGUACCAGGAGAAUAAGCACCGGCUAACUCUGUGCCAGCAGCCGCUGUAACAC